CUACGGGUGGCUCCAGUGAGGAAUAUUGCACAAUGGGGGGAACCCUGAUGCAGCAACGCCGCGUGGAGGAUGACGCAUUUCGGUGUGUAAACUCCUUUUAUAUGUCAAGAAAAUGACGGUAGCAUAUGAAUAAGCACCGGCUAACUCCGUGACAGCAGCCGCGGUAAUACGGAGGGUGCAAGCGUUACUCGGAAUCACUGGGCGUAAAGGACGCGUAGGCGGGUUGGAAAGUCAGGUGUGAAAUCCUACAGCUUAACUGUAGAACUGCACUUGAAACUUCUAAUCUAGAGGAUGGGAGGGGGAGAUGGAAUUAGUGGUGUAGGGGUAAAAUCCGUAGAUAUCACUAGGAAUACCUAAAGCGAAGGCGAUCUCCUGGAACAUUACUGACGCUAAGGCGUGAAAGCGUGGGGAGCAAACAGGAUUAGAUACCCCUGUAGUC
rnacentral:rRNA from 1 species